rnacentral:rRNA from 1 species
GACGAACGCUGGCGGCGUGCUUAACACAUGCAAGUCGAACGGAAAGGCCCUGCUUUUGUGGGGUGCUCGAGUGGCGAACGGGUGCGUAACACGUGAGUAACCUGCUCUUGACUUUGGUAUAACUUCAGGUAACUGGGGCUAAUACCGGAUAGGAUCUCCUGCUGCAUGGUGGGGGUUGGAUAUUUUCGGCGGUUGGGGAUGGACUCGCGGCUUAUCAGCUUGCUGGUGGGGUAGUGGCUUACCAAGGCUUUGACGGGUAGCCGGCCUGAGAGGGUGACCGGCCACAAUGGGACUGAGAUACGGCCCAGACUCCUACGGGAGGCAGCAGUGGGGAAUAUUGCACAAUGGGCGGAAGCCUGAUGCAGAAACGCCGCGUGCGGGAUGACGGCCUUCGGGUUGUAAAACGCUUUCGCCUGUGACGAAGCGUGAGUGACGGUAAUGGGUAAAGAAGCACCGGCUAACUACGUG